rnacentral:tRNA from 1 species
GCCCGGCCUAGUGGUUAAAGGUUCGUUUGUUAAACUUGAGGUCACGCGUUCGAUUCCGGUUUUGGGCC